GGGGCUUUGGCAAACAAGGAUUUCAAUGUCAAGUUUGUUCGUAUGUGGUGCACAAGCGCUGUCACGAAUAUGUGACGUUCAUAUGCCCGGGCAAGGAUAAGGGAAUCGAUUCCAAUUACCUACAUAAAUAUCACUCCCCUUGAAAAUUUUAAGGGCAUACAGGCCUUCUUAAUGCUGUCACUUUCACACUUAUAAAACAACAAAAACCGCAAACCGCUGUGCGUUUUUAUAGAACUGUCAAACUGCCAACACGCACACAAAUACUUUUUCACCCACUUGUCAAGUGCAGCACAUGUGACGCGCCAGCUGCAAGCAAACAUAAAAUGGAAUAUAAACGCAGCGUAAAACUUAACCAGUGCAUUUUUGUUUUUUUGUUUUUCUAACAGUUUCAGUUUUCUACGUACAAGCUGAUAUUAA